rnacentral:ncRNA from 1 species
AAAAUCGUGCAAAUUCAAUAUAUUGCAAGAAGAUCGUAGGCCU